rnacentral:rRNA from 1 species
UGCCGCGUGUGUGUAAAAGGCCUUCGGGUUGUCCAGCACUUUUGUCCGGAAAGAAAUCCUUGGCUCUAAUACAGUCCGUAGGGGAUGACGGUACCGGAAGAAUAAGCACCGCCUAACUACUUGCCAGCAGCCGCGGUAAUACGUAGGGUGCAAGCGGCAGUCGGAAUUACUGGGCGUAAAGCGUGCGCAGAAGGUUUGCUAAGACCGAUGUG